AUUGAACGCUGGCGGCAUGCUUUACACAUGCAAGUCGGACGAGUGGCGAACGGGUGAGUAACGCAUCGGAACGUGCCUAGUAAAGGGGGAUAACUGUCCGAAAGGACAGCUAAUACCGCAUAUUAUUCGAGCGGCCGAUGUGUGAUUAGGUGGUUGGCGGGGUAAAGGCCCACCAAGGCGACGAUGCGUAGCGGGUCUGAGAGGAUUAUCGGCCACCCUGGGACUGAGACACGGCCCAGACUCCUACGGGAGGCAGCAGUGGGGAAUUUUGGACAAUGGGCGCAAGCCUGAUCCAGCCAUGCCGCGUGUGUGAAGAAGGCCUUCGGAUUGUAAAGCACUUUUGUUAGGGAAGCGGUACCUAAAGAAUAAGCACCGGCUAACUACGUGCCAGCAGCCGCGGUAAUAC
rnacentral:rRNA from 1 species